rnacentral:rRNA from 1 species
GACGAACGCUGGCGGCGUGCUUAACACAUGCAAGUCGAGCGCUGAAGCUCAGCUUUUGUUGGGUGGAUGAGUGGCGAACGGGUGAGUAACACGUGAGUAACCUGCCUCCUUCUUUGGGAUAACGCCCGGAAACGGGUGCUAAUACUGGAUAUUCACUGGUCUUCGCAUGGGGGUUGGUGGAAAGGGUUUUUCUGGUGGGGGAUGGGCUCGCGGCCUAUCAGCUUGUUGGUGGGGUGAUGGCCUACCAAGGCUUUGACGGGUAGCCGGCCUGAGAGGGUGACCGGUCACAUUGGGACUGAGAUACGGCCCAGACUCCUACGGGAGGCAGCAGUGGGGAAUAAUGCACAAUGGGCGCAAGCCUGAUGCAGCGACGCCGCGUGAGGGAUGGAGGCCUUCGGGUUGUGAACCUCUUUCGCUCAUGGUCAAGCCGCAACAAUGGUUGUGGUGAGGGUAGUGGGUAAAGAAGCGCCGGCUAACUACGUG